rnacentral:rRNA from 1 species
GGGGAAUAUUGGACAAUGGGCGCAAGCCUGAUCCAGCCAUGCCGCGUGAGUGAUGAAGGCCCUAGGGUUGUAAAGCUCUUUCGGCGGGGACGAUAAUGACGGUACCCGCAGAAGAAGCCCCGGCUAACUUCGUGCCAGCAGCCGCGGUAAUACGAAGGGGGCUAGCGUUGUUCGGAAUCACUGGGCGUAAAGCGCACGUAGGCGGAUUAUUAAGUCGGGGGUGAAAUCCCGAGGCUCAACCUCGGAACUGCCUUCGAUACUGGUAAUCUUCGAGUCCGGGAGAGGUGAGUGGAACUCCGAGUGUAGAGGUGAAAUUCGUAGAUAUUCGGAAGAACACCAGUGGCGAAGGCGGCUCACUGGCCCGGUACUGACGCUGAGGUGCGAAAGCGUGGGGAGCAAAC